rnacentral:rRNA from 1 species
GACGAACGCUGGCGGCGUGCUUAACACAUGCAAGUCGAACGGAAAGGCCCUGCUUUUGUGGGGUGCUCGAGUGGCGAACGGGUGAGUAACACGUGAGUAACCUGCCCUUGACUUUGGGAUAACUUCAGGAAACUGGGGCUAAUACCGGAUAGGAGCUCCUGCUGCAUGGUGGGGGUUGGAAAGUUUCGGCGGUUGGGGAUGGACUCGCGGCUUAUCAGCUUGUUGGUGGGGUAGUGGCUUACCAAGGCUUUGACGGGUAGCCGGCCUGAGAGGGUGACCGGCCACAUGGGGACUGAGAUACGGCCCAGACUCCUACGGGAGGCAGCAGUGGGGAAUAUUGCACAAUGGGCGGAAGCCUGAUGCAGCAACGCCGCGUGCGGGAGGACGGCCUUCGGGUUGUAAACCGCUUUCGCCUGUGACGAAGCGUGAGUGACGGUAAUGGGUAAAGAAGCACCGGCUAACUACGUG